AUAGAUAUGCCUGUUUGCUGUAUGUGUCCUUUGGAACUUUGUAUUUGUAUCGCCAGUUGGGAUACAAUGAGAGGAAAUUCAACCAAUACUUGUGCAAAAAAAGAGAGAAAAUUCAAGCAAUAUAAGAAACCGUGUUCACUUUUUAUAUUUGUCGUUCUUAAUGAGAGCCAGUAGAUGGGACAUAAUGACAAACUUAUCAUGCUCCAGUUUGCUAGAAAUUUUGGAAUUGGGUGUUUCUGUAACAAGCUGAUAAGUUCAGUUGUUACUUAAGCAAGCAGCAGCAGCAGCAGCAGCAACACCAACAAUUCACAAGGAAUAAGGAAAGAGAUAGAUAGAAAGAAGAAGGAGGGAGUAGAAAUGGUGGAAGGAUCAGACGGAAACAGAGAGUUUAGAAAGGAACAAUUUCAUAUUUCAUUCAUACUGAUUUCACACCAUGAGCUCAGUACAUAUACUCCAAUUCACAAGUUCCUAGAUUUGCUCCAGCUCAGCCAUGUGACUGUUAACAGACUGCUACUGGAGUAACAUGGAGAAGAAAUGAAGAGAAAUGGAAAAUACUACCUUAGAUUAAUAAAAACAAAAGACAUUAUUGACCCUUCUAACCAACUUAGCCACCUUACAGUCUACCCCCCAUGAAAACAACCUUGUCCUCAAGGUUGGAAGUGAGGAAAUUUCUUGUGGAACUCAUUCCGGUCUUCCCAAGUUGCUUCUUCGGGCAAGGUGUUGAACCACUGUACCAAUACUUCAACUGAGGCUGCAUUGUUCUUUUUAAUCAUCUUUCUGUCCAGAAUGGCCACAGGCUCCACCAAAAAUUGACCAUGCUUAUACAAUUGAGGAAGAACUGCAGACGUAUUGUACUUAGAACUGACAUUUUUUCUUCAAAAGGGACACAUGAAAGACAGGGUGAACCUUAGCUGGAGCUGGCAAUCUGAGCCUAUAGGCUACCUUUCUCACCUUUUCUAUAAUCUGAUAGGGAUCAAAAUAUUUUGGAAGAAGCUUUCCAAACUUAGUUUGAGUGAUAGUAGUUUGCUUAUAAGGCUUGAUCCUUAAGUACACCCAAUCUCCUACCAGUCCUUUCACUUCUUGCUUUGUCUGCAUAAGUUUUCAUUUUAGACUGAGCUGAUGUCAGAUUUUGCUUUAAUAGCUGCAAUUGUUGAGUUCCUGCAGAAUGACUUGGUAGUAGGAUCCUUAAUUUGGCUGUAUUGAUGGAAGUUGAGAUGAGGAGGCUUGUAACCAUAUAAUGCUUUGAAAGGGGUCACCUUAAGCCCACUAUGGUAGUGAGAAUUGUACCAAAACUCAGCUAGUGGUAACCAAGUAGACCAAUUAUUAGGCCUGUUAGCAGUCAUGCACCUUAGAAUUUAGAUAACAUUCUAGCACCUUAUUAAGCCUCUCAGUCUGGCCAUCAGUUUGGGGGUGGUAUGAGGUGCUUAAAUGAAGUUUAGUUCCUAUUAGUUUAAACAGAGAUUGCCAAAACAGACUGAUGAAAAUCUUAUCUCUAUCAGACAUAAUAGUUGAAGGAAAUCCAUGUAAUUUGUAAAUCUGAUCAAUAUAUACUUGUGCAAAAUCUGCAGCAAAAAAAGGAUAAUGGAGAGGAAUGAAGUGUCCAUAUUUGGUUAGUCUAUCAACCACUACUCAUAUGAUUGAUUGGUCUUUGGAUUUUGGCAGACCUUCAAUAAAAUCCAUGGAUAUAUCAUCCUAUGGUUUGUCUGGAAUAGACAAGGGCUGCAGUAAACCUGGGGAAGUUACAUUUUCAUGCUUGUUUUGUUGGCACACAUCACAACUUUUAACAAACUGAGUAACAUCACUCCUUAAAUUGGACCAGAAAAAGUAUUUACUUAUCCUUUCAUAUGUACCUGUAAUACCCGAGUGACCCCCAAUAGGAGAUUCAUGGAAUUCAGAUAGAAGCUAAGCCUUUAAUGCAUGGACCAACUACCAACUUCCCUUGAAACUUUAAUCUUCCAUUCUGAAAGCAGUACCCUGGUAAGGACUGAUGAUCUAACUGGAGCUGCAGUAUAAGAUCCUUAAGCCCUUGGUCAGAUUCCUAAGAGUGCACAAUUUCCAUUAUCGACUGAGGAGUACAAGUAGAUAGUGCUGAACAGCUUAGUUCAGGACCAGGACCAGGACCAGGUAUAGGUAUUUGUCUUGAUAGGCAGUCUGCUGCUAAAUUUUCUUUCCCUUUUUUAUACACAAUUUCAUAAUCUAAACCCAUCAAUUUGGUAAUCCACUUUUGUUGGUUAGUGAUGGUGAUCCUUCGAUCAAGCAAAUACUUAAGACUAUGAUGAUCAAUUUUAAUUAACACUUUAUUUCCCAAUAAGUAGUGCCUCCAUUUAUUGACAGCAUAAAUCACAACCAUUAAUUCCUUCAUAUAUGUGGACUAUCCCAAAUGUUUAGGUGAUAUAGCCUUGCUUAAGUAAGCUAUAGGCCUACCUUGUUGCAUCAAAACUGCUCCCAGCCCAUAAUAAGAAGCAUCAGUUUCUAAAAUAAAUGGUAAAUUGAAAUUGGGCAUAGUUAGGACUAGUGCUUCCACCAUAGCAUCCUUUAAAGCUAAAAAACACGUAGUAGCACCCUCAUUCCAAUGAAUUUUUUUUUAGUAAAUCGAUCAAAGGUUUGCUAAUAAGACCAUAGUUCUUAAUGAACCUUCUGUAGUAGCCAGUUAGGCCUAAGAAUCCCCUCAAACUCUUAAUGUUCUGAGGCAUUGGCCAUUCUUUCAUACAACUGAUCUUUUCAGGAUCAAUGGAGACUCCCUUCUGGGUGAUAAUGUGUCCAAGGUACUGGACCUGUUUUGUACCAAAUAGGCACUUGCUCCUUUUUGCACAUAAAGAGUUGUCUUUAAGCAGCUGUAGAGUCAUUUGCAGAUGUUUAAGGUGUUCCUUAUAGCUAGAACUAUACACUAGGAUGUCAUCAAAGAAGACUAGGAUAAACUUCCUCAAAUAGGGUUUAAAGAUUUGAUUCAUUAAGGAUUGAAAAGUGGCUGGGGCAUUAGUAAGCCCAAAAGGGAUCACUAGGAAUUCAGAAUGCCCAACGUGUGNNNNNNNNNNNNNNNNNNNNNNNNNNNNNNNNNNNNNNNNNNNNNNNNNNNNNNNNNNNNNNNNNNNNNNNNNNNNNNNNNNNNNNNNNNNNNNNNNNNNGGGGGGGGUGUACCUUAAUUUGGUGAUAACCUAACCUGAGGUCCAACUUUGAGUACCAUUUAGAGCCAUGCAAUUCAUCUAAUUAAGGAAGUAUAAGUUUCGUAAUGAAUUUGAACGAUCCGAAUGAAUCAUAUGAAGUAUGAACAAUUCGGUGAAAUAAGUAAGGAAUGGUGUUUUAUAACACCGAAUUCCAAGAAAAAGUGAAAUCGUAAUUAAAAUAUCGAUUAAAAGAACAAACGAAGAACGCGAAGAACACGCGAAGAGCUCAUCAAUAGCAAGAAUGGGGAACUUAUUUUUAACUGUCAUUUCAUUCAAAGAUCUGUUAUCACAGUCUCCAUGUUCCUGCUUCUUUACUAAUAGUACUGGAAAGGCAUAAGGACUUGUACUUGGCUGAAUUAUUUCAGAAAUCAACAUUUCAUUUACAAUCUUCUCAAUCUCUUCCUUCUGCACAUGAGGAUAUCUAUAUGGUCGAAGGUUAAUUGGUUGGCUACCCUCUUUUAGAUUGAUAUGGUGAUUGUGAGUUCUAUCUGGUGGCAGCCCUUGUAACUCCUUAAAUACCUCAGAAAAACUCUGCAACAAGGAGUCCAGUUGGGAGCUAUCCCUGUUUUUCCCAUCACUUGUGGCUGUCCCCUAUUUGCCUAGUAGGUUGGUCUUCAUUAUCUGGAUUAUUAGAGCUCAUCCCAAAGAGGUAACCAAAAUAACCAUGUGUGGUUGUAUUCAAAGCUUGUUGGAACUCCCCAUAAGACAUUAGUUGAAUGGUGGGAGUAGUUGAAUCUGAUUCACCUCUGAGCACAACUUCCUUAUUAUCCUUGAUGAAUGACAGUUGGAGAUGAUCAAAGUCAAAAGUAACUGGAUUGAAGUGCUUGAGCCAUUGUACCCCCAGGACAUCAUCUAUUCCACCUAAGGGCAAGAUUCUGAAAUCAGUAACAAAGGACUCCCCUUGGACUGACCAUAACAACUGGGUGCAUUCCUACUUACUGUCCACCUUAAACCCAUCUGCUACCGAGACCGUCAUAGGUUUAAUGUCUUGGAGCCUUGAUUCUCUUAGCAACUCGGGGAUCUAAAAAAUUGUUUGUACUACCACUGUUAAUCAAUAUCCUUAAACAUUUUCCAUUUGCCAAUCCCCCAAUCCGGAUGGUGUUUUUUACCCUGUGUCCAGACAAGGCAUGUAAUGUAAUGUGAGCCUCAUGGAUCUUACAUUCAUUGUCAUCUGGAGGUUUCUCCUCUUCACAACACUCUCCCCCUUCUUCACUGUCACAGUCCACUUGAGAAGGCAGCAUCAAAAGUAGGUGUGGUUUCUUGUAUUGGUGACCUACAAUGUAAGACUCAUCACAAGAAUAACACAAUUUCUUCCUCCUCUUUUCUGCAAUUUGUUCCCUAGUUAGUCCUUUGAUAGGCAAAUUCUUCCCAAACUCCAUAGUAUUAGUCACUCCAGGUAUACCAGUUCCUACUGGUUUAUUUCCCAAUACAAAACUGGGUUUCUGUUGGCUACUAGACAUCCCCAUUUUAAAUCCCAUUCUGCUCCUUUUAACCCAUGCUUUUAGCUUUGCUUCUUCAACUCUAGCCAUUCUAAUCACCUCUUUAAGGGAUUGUAACUUCAACUCCUGAAUGCCCAACCUUAUUUCCUCUUUAAGUCCCCCAAGAAACAGUCCAUAAAAAAAGCUUCAUUCAAAAAGGAGUUUCUAAUCAAGGACCAACCUUUUAAUUCUUCAAACUUCUUCCUAUACUCAUCCACAGUCCCCAACUGCUGCACAUUUUUUAGUUCCCCUAUAGGGUUCAUCUGGUUCUCUGGACUGAACCUAACAACAAUAUCUUCCACAAACCCAUCCCAAGUCAAAUCUGGACCCCCUUGCACAAACCCAGCAUACCAUUCUUCAGCCUCCCCUUCCAAAUUCAUGGUGGCUAAGUAAAGUUUGUGAUUAUCAGCCACUGAAUGGUGAGAAAACAACUUAUUGCAUUUUUCGAAUCCAUGACCUGGGAUUAUUACCAUCAAAUCUGGGAAAUUCAAACUUGAUUGAUUUGAAUAUGCUAGGGGUACCCUUGUCAUCCUGAUUUAAAUUUUCAAAAGUCCCUAAAACUGAACCAGCCUGGGUUUGUGAAUUACCUGUGUUAUUUGGAGGAGGAGGUAGCCUAACUAAGAGCAAAGCAUCAAAACCCUUGAUCAUUUGCUCCAUCUUUUGAUUCAACCUCUCUUUGAAAUCCAACUUCAAACUGCUGACAGAAUCAUUCAGUUGGGUCUGCAACCUCUGGAUGGAGUCAGCUUGUUUACUGACAAAACCUUCCAAAUUAGUGAUUCUCUGUGUGUUAUUAGCCAUGGUUGGAAACGGUGGCUUUGAUACCAAUUGUAACAAGCUGAUAAGUUCAGUUGUUACUUAAGCAAGCAGCAGCUGCAACGAUUCACAAAGAAUAAGGAAAGAGUUGGAUAGAAUCAGAAGGAGGGAGUAGAAAUGGUGGAAGGAUCAGACGGAAACAGAGAGUUUAGAAAGGAACAAUUUCAUAUUUCAUUCAUACUGAUUUCACACCAUGAACUCAGUACAUAUACUCCAAUUCACAAGUUCCUAGAUUUGCUCCAGCUCAGCCAUGUGACUGCUAACAGACUGCUACUGGAGUAAUAUGGAGAAGAAAUGGAAAAUACUACCUUACCCUUAAUUAAUAAAAACAAAAGACAUUAUUGACCCUUCUAACCAACUUAGCCACCUUACAGUUUCAUCAACUGAGAAGUAUAAUUUUGUGUUCUAAUUAGAGAACCUGGUUAUAGUUUGACUCUUUACUCUACUGGCAUAUCAACUAAAUUUUUACUCUUUAUUUCAUUAUUUAUCCACCCUCUAAAGUUUGCAAUUUACAUAUUUGCUUAUGGAGGGUUGGGAUUCACCAACUCUGCUUAAAACUAGUCAUUCUUACAUGAGUAAAGGAUGAUGAGGCUAAUCUGUUACUGAGUUCUAUCAUCUGUGUAGUUUGUUGCAUAUGUUACUUUAAUGCAUAAAAUUUUGUAACUGGAUCAGCCAGGAAGUAUCCAUCAUCUUUUAUUGACCAAG
rnacentral:lncRNA from 1 species